CUAAAGUUCGUGUCAGCAGCUGGGGGAAUGAGAGGGGGGCUGGCGUUGCUCUGAAUCACUUGGCGUAAAGCGCACGUAGGCGGACUCUGAAGUCGGGGGGGAAAUCCUGGAGCUCAACUCAAGAACGGCCUGCGAUACUGUGAGUCUUGAGUUCGGGAGAGGGGAGUGGAACUGCGAGUGUAGAGGUGAAAUUCGUAGAUAUUCGCAAGAACACCAGUGGCGAAGGCGGCUCACUGGCCCGAUACUGACGCUGAGGUGCGAAAGCGUGGGGAGCAAACAGGAUUAGAUACCCCUGUAGUC
rnacentral:rRNA from 1 species